rnacentral:rRNA from 1 species
AAUAAUAAAAGACCUGAAUACCGAGGGUUUAAAGAGAUUAAAAUAAAUUGAAGAGUUUGAUGUUGGCUCAGUAAAACUACUAUAUAGAUGAAAAUACAUGCAAGUAAAUAUAUUAAUUUAAUUAUAUUUGCGAAGACAUGAGUAAAAAAUAAUUAUUUGAACUUUAAAUUAAGUCAAGUUAUUUAAAACAUUAGGUAGUUGAUAAGUUAAAAUCUUAUCAAGCCAUUAAUAUGUUUAACUGUAAAUAAAAGUUUGAACAGUCAUGUUAACCUUGAAAGAUGGUUAAAGCUCAUUGGGCUCAGCAGUAAAUAAUAUUUGUCAAUGAACGAAAGUUUGAACGAGUAAUCUAUAAAAAUGAGAUAUAAUAAAUCAGAAAUUUUUAAUUUAAUAAAUAUCAAAUAAUAUAAAAUUUAAAUUUAAAUUAUAUAAUGAAUAAUUUAAAUAAUAGUUCUAACCAAAAAUUAAUUGUGCCAGAAGUUUCGGUUAUACAAAUAGAGCAAGUAGUUUACAUUAAAGGUUUAAAGGAUUAGUAGACAGUUAAAAAAUAACUAGAAUAAAAAGAAAUAUUUAAUGAAAAAUAAAAGUAAAAGUUAAAUUUAACAAUAUUUAUUAGACAACCAAUAUAUGAAAAUAUUAAAUAUAAUUUUUAUUGACGUUGAGAUAAUGAAACCUAAAGUAUCAAGUUGGACUUGUUAACCAAUUAGUUUUAGGCGUAAACAAUGUAUAUUAAAAAAAUAUUAAUUAAUUUUUUAAAAAUAAUUUAAAAUAUACCACCUGAAAAGUAUAAUACAGAAUUGAAAUUUAAAACAAUAGGCCGUUUAACUACAGUAACAGUGGAUUAUGUGGCUUAAUACGAUAAUCCCCGAGAAUCUUACCAUAAAAAAAUAUAUAUAUUUAUAAAUAAUAUUUAUAUUUUGCAUAUUUAAUACAAAUGCUACAUAGCUGUCAUAAGUUCAUAUUGUGAAAGUAAAUUUAAUGAACUCAAUCUAUUAUAUAUAAAUUUUAAUAUAUAUUAAUAUAUAGAAAAGGACAAGUCAUCAUGGCUUUAAUAUUAUGGGCAGCACACGUAAUACAAAAAUAAAAAAAAAUAGAAAUAAUUAUUUAGUUUUCUAUUUAUAAAUUUAUAAUUUAAUAACUGUAAUUCGUUAUUAUUUAGAAGGAAUUGUCAGUAAUGAUAUUUUAGUAAAAUAUCGUGAAAAUUUGAGUUAUGGGUACUAAUUACUCAUCAUUUGGGUGAAUAAAAUAAUUAUUAAUUAAAUUUUAAUUAUUAUUAUUUUAAACUCCUGAGAAGUUGAAAUAUAGUUGUCGUAGAUGAAUCUGCGGCGGUAAAUACAUUAUUAAUUACUCCCCUACCCCCCCCAGGGCAUAUUAUAUUAUAUUAUAUUAUAUCCCUCGGCCAUAAUGGCCAAGGUCAUUUUAAUUAAA